rnacentral:misc_RNA from 1 species
GAAAUGCGAUAAGUAAUGUGAAUUGCAGAAUUCAGUGAAUCAUCGAAUCUUUGAACGCACAUUGCGCCCGCCAGCACUCUGGCGGGCAUGCCUGUUCGAGCGUCAUUUCAACCCUCAGAACCCCUUGCGGGAUCUGGCGUUGGGGAUUGGCAUCCAGCCACCCCCGAAAUCUAGUGGCGGUCCCUCCGCGACCUCCCCUGUGCAGUAGCGAUACCUCGCAGCGGGACAGCGGUCUGACCACGCCGUAAAACCCCCAACUUCUCAAGGUUGACCUCGAAUCAGGUAGGAAUACCCGCUGAACUUAAGC